CCUAUACUCUUCCGUCCAACAAAAGAUGUGUCAACUUUGACUAAAUUUAAAUGCAUCUAUAUACUAAAUUAUGUUUAGAUACAUUUAAAUUUGGACAAACUUGAAACAUCUUUUGUUAGAUGAAGGAAGUACGUC
rfam:Brachypodium distachyon strain Bd21 chromosome 5, whole genome shotgun sequence.